CGCUUGGGAACCUACGACCUGGUCGUGGCCUAUCCUCGUCCCAAAAAUAGCAGAAGCAUUCUCUAAGCUGCUGGUCCGUGUGCAUAUGCUUCGUGCUUGCAGGGCCAGCGAAUGCUGAAGGGCAUCUGGCCUCUUCUACGUGGAGUGGGAGAUUUGUCCGAUGGAAAGCCUUGGGUGGAUUCGGUCAGAGAAGAUGAAGACGAUGCCCUCAGGCUGCAGCUGCCGUUCUCUUUCAUGGAAGGGUCAUGGAGGUACUCUUCAGGGGAACAUUCUAGCUUCGUCUUUGGGCCAAAUUGCAGCGAAAUGAAGUUCAGAUUCAGUGGCUGACGCAGGGCGCACAUAAUCUUGAGGUUGCGGCUCUGCAAAUCUUCAAUUCGUUUGGUUGGCCGGCCCCGGCCAGGAUUCCUUUUGUUUAGCGUUUUGAGUUACCGUAUGAACGGUGGUUCCUGCUUUUGAGUCUUGUGUGGUGAACUAAGUCUGUGUGCUUUGUGUAAGACGCUUUCCGUUGGAGUUGUGGUGUGUGGGU